rnacentral:snRNA from 1 species
AUCUUUGCGCUUGGGUCAAUGACGCAGCUAGUGAGGUAAAUCCGAGGACCGUCAAUUGUUGGUUGAAAACUAUUUCCAACCCCCCUCGUUGGCCUAGGCUACGCUUUGGCCUUCGAGAAUUUUUGGAGGGUCCGCCUUUGGC